UACGUAGGGUGCGAGCGUUGUCCGGAAUUACUGGGCGUAAAGAGCUCGUAGGUGGUUUGUCGCGUUGUUCGUGAAAACUCACAGCUCAACUGUGGGCGUGCGGGCGAUACGGGCAGACUAGAGUACUGCAGGGGAGAACGGAAUUCCUGGUGUAGCGGUGGAAAUGCGCAGAUAUCAGGAGGAACACCGGUGGCGAAGGCGGUUCUCUGGGCAUGUCCUGACGCUGAGGAGCGAAAGUGUGGGGAGCGAACAGG
rnacentral:rRNA from 1 species